CCCCGGGCUCAACCUGGGAACUGCGUUNUGAACUGGGUGACUAGAGUGUGUCAGAGGGAGGUAGAAUUCCACGUGUAGCAGUGAAAUGCGUAGAGAUGUGGAGGAAUACCGAUGGCGAAGGCAGCCUCCUGGGAUAACACUGACGUUCAUGCCCGAAAGCGUGGGUAGCAAACAGGAUUAGAUACCCUGGUAGUCCACGCCCUAAACGAUGUCGAUUAGCUGUUGGGCAGCAUGACUGCUUAGUAGCGAAGCUAACGCGUGAAAUCGACCGCCUGGGGAGUACGGUCGCAAGAUUAAAACUCAAAGGAAUUGACGGGGACCCGCACAAGCGGUGGAUGAUGUGGAUUAAUUCGAUGCAACGCGAAGAACCUUACCUGGUCUUGACAUGUACGGAACCCUCCAGAGACGGAGGGGUGCCUUCGGGAGCCGUAACACAGGUGCUGCAUGGCUGUCGUCAGCUCGUGUCGUGAGAUGUUGGGUUAAGUCCCGCAACGAGCGCAACCCUUGUCAUUAGUUGCCAUCAUUAGGUUGGGCACUCUAAUGAGACUGCCGGUGACAAGCCGGAGGAAGGUGGGGAUGACGUCAAGUCCUCAUGGCCCUUAUGACAGGGCUUCACACGUCAUACAAUGGUCGGUACAGAGGGUAGCCAAGCCGCGAGGUGGAGCCAAUCUCACAAAACCGAUCGUAGUCCGGAUUGCACUCUGCAACUCGAGUGCAUGAAGUCGGAAUCGCUAGUAAUCGCAGGUCAGCAUACUGCGGUGAAUACGUUCCCGGGUCUUGUACACACCGCCCGUCACACCAUGGGAGUGGGGGAUACCAGAAGUAG
rnacentral:rRNA from 1 species